rnacentral:rRNA from 1 species
UUUAUGGGGUGACUGCGUACCUUUUGUAUAAUGGGUCAGCGACUUAUAUUCUGUAGCAAGGUUAACCGAAUAGGGGAGCCGAAGGGAAACCGAGUCUUAACUGGGCGUUAAGUUGCAGGGUAUAGACCCGAAACCCGGUGAUCUAGCCAUGGGCAGGUUGAAGGUUGGGUAACACUAACUGGAGGACCGAACCGACUAAUGUUGAAAAAUUAGCGGAUGACUUGUGGCUGGGGGUGAAAGGCCAAUCAAACCGGGAGAUAGCUGGUUCUCCCCGAAAGCUAUUUAGGUAGCGCCUCGUGAACUCAUCUUCGGGGGUAGAGCACUGUUUCGGCUAGGGGGUCAUCCCGACUUACCAACCCGAUGCAAACUGCGAAUACCGAAGAAUGUUAUCACGGGAGACACACGGCGGGUGCUAACGUCCGUCGUGAAGAGGGAAACAACCCAGACCGCCAGCUAAGGUCCCAAAGUCAUGGUUAAGUGGGAAACGAUGUGGGAAGGCUCAGACAGCCAGGAUGUUGGCUUAGAAGCAGCCAUCAUUUAAAGAAAGCGUAAUAGCUCACUGGUCGAGUCGGCCUGCGCGGAAGAUGUAACGGGGCUAAACCAUGCACCGAAGCUGCGGCAGCGACACUAUGUGUUGUUGGGUAGGGGAGCGUUCUGUAAGCCUG